rnacentral:rRNA from 1 species
GACGAACGCUGGCGGCGUGCUUAACACAUGCAAGUCGAACGGUGAAGCGCCUUCCUUUUUGGUGGGUGUGGAUGGGUGGCGAACUGGUUAGUAACACGUUAGUAACCUGCCCCCUUCUUCUGGAUAACCGCAUGAAGGUGUGGCUACUACGGAAUAUUUUGGGUCUGUCGCUUGAUGGGUCUGGGAAGGAUAUUUUUUCGGUGGUGGAUGGGCUCGCGGCCUAUCAGCUUGUUGGGGGGGUGAUGGCCUACCAAGGCGGUGAGGGGUAGCCGGCCUGAGAGGGUGGACGACAAUAGAGGGAAGAAGAGACGGAGAAGACUCCGAGGGGAGGCAGCAGUGAGGAAUAUGGAACAAUGGGAGGAAGGAUGAUGCAGCGACGCGGCGGGAGGGAAGGAGGCCGUAGGGUUGUGAACCGCUAUCGGGAGUGAAGCAGGCUGGAAUUGUUUGUGGAUGGGUUGACGGUAGCUGGAUAAGAAGCGCCGGCUAACUACGUG